ensembl:lncRNA
GGCUACGUUGGUGCUGGAGAGGCACCACACUCCUGCAUGCACGCCCACCCCCAAUCCUUCCCCCCAACACGGGGGGUGGUGGGGGGCAAAAACAACCCGGGGCGCUGACGUCACCCAGGCGGAGGCGCCUACCGCUGUACCCGUAGUCACUGUAUGCAGUUGUUGGAGAUGCUCGGUUUAGCAGAGACAUUGAGAGAGAGAGAGAGAGAUGGAGCCCUUGGCCUUCUGUCACAAGAGCUGGCAAAUGGCCCGCCCGGCUAGCCCUGCCCUAGCCAGUCCCAGAGCCACAGAUCUGGGAUCUGCCAGCCGUGCUAUUUGCCUCACCGAGUGGGUCUACUCAUAGUUUUCCACGAGACUUGACAAGGAAGGAACAAACCCCACAACUCUAAAGGAUCUCAGGUAGCCCAGGCUGACCUGGAAUUUACUUCAUAGACCUUGUACACCUGAUCCUCCACCUUCACCUCCUGAGUGCUGGCAUCACAGCUUACUGAAGAUAAGGUGAAUCCCUUCACUCAAGGCUCUUUGUGAUCUGACAACUUUCUUUGGGAACAAAAGAAGCUGACAGGCGUCUUAAUGACUUCUCAUAGAUGCCUUAGUCACCCACAUGUUCACACGCUGGGUGUCACAUAGCACUGCAGUUAAAGGCCAGCUUGUGAGCAGUACCUUCUUUCAGUGGUACAUAAACUACAGGCUGAGCCCGGUGUGCAUACUUGUAACCUCAACUGUUCCGGUGGCCGAACCAGGAGAAUCACAAGUGUGAGACUGGCCUGCUUAGACUACAGAGUGACUUCAAGGCUAAAUUGAGCAACUUAAUGAGAUUGGCUCUCAAAAGAGUGAAAAAGAGCUGGGCAUGCAGCUUAGAAUCAAAGUAUUUCUCCAGCGUGUGUGAGCCUGAGGUUCAAUCCCCAGGACUGGGAAACAAAAACAAAGAAAUAAGAAAAGCUAACUGACUUCAUUUUCAUUUUGAGAGCAUCACUGCCCAUCACAGGAAAACAGUUCAUACAUCUGAAGAUGCCAAGAGGAACAAGUGAGUGGCAGUCUCCACAUCUCAGGGACAAACUUCUGGUUUGGGGAAUAGUUGUGCAUCGAGUGGGACUUCUGCUCCAGAUUUCCACAGGGAUAUCUCCUAUGUAUCCACUUUUUUUGGCUGGCGGGGGGCACUUCUGAGACAGGGUUUCUCUGUGGCUUUGGAGCCUGUUCUAGAACUAGCUCUUGUAGACCAGGCUGGUCUCGAACUCACAGAGAUCUGCCUGCCUCUGCCUCCCCAGUGCUGGGAUUAAAGGCAUUCACCACCACUGCCCAGCCAUAUAUCCACUUUUCAUUUGAAGAUUCCUGCAUGUUGGCAGACUAGUGUUACAGUAAGUCUUUACUCCAUCCGCCCCGCCUCCAUGUGGGCACCCAGAAUAACACACAGAGUCCUAUAUUAGUUUACAAUGCUGCUGGCCAAUUGACUAGGAUUUCUUAUAUGCUAGCUCAGUCUUAAUUAUCAGAAAUCUAUAUAUUUUAUAAGACUUAUCUUAUCGAGGAUGUCUUCUGCUGGCGUCCUCUUCCAGGGAUCACACGGAGGCUCCGUAGAGCAGAGAGCAGGAGGAAGAGGAAGAGCAAGAGAAUGAUUUCCUUCUUGUCCAUGCUUAUAUUCUGAGUCUGCCUGCUAUGUCACUUCCUGCCUGGAUCUCUACUACAUUUCCUAGAAUCCUCCUUGACUCCUAGUUCCACCUGUCUUGCUUUCCCAUUGGCCAACAG